rnacentral:rRNA from 1 species
UACGGAGGGUGCAAACGUUGCUCGGAAUCACUGGGCGUAAAGCGCACGUAGGCGGAUUGUUAAGUCAGGGGUGAAAUCCUGGAGCUCAACUCCAGAACUGCCUUUGAUACUGGCGAUCUCGAGUCCGGGAGAGGUGAGUGGAACUGCGAGUGUAGAGGUGAGAUUCGUAGAUAUUCGCAAGAACACCAGUGGCGAAGGCGGCUCACUGGCCCGAUACUGACGCUGAGGCACGAAAGCGUGGGGAGCAAACAGG